rnacentral:rRNA from 1 species
AGUCGAACGGCAGCAUAGGUGCUUGCACCUGAUGGCGAGUGGCGAACGGGUGAGUAAUGCAUCGGAACGUGCCCAGUCGUGGGGGAUAACGCAGCGAAAGCUGUGCUAAUACCGCAUACGAUCUAUGGAUGAAAGCGGGGGACCUUCGGGCCUCGCGCGAUUGGAGCGGCCGAUGUUAGAUUAGGUAGUUGGUGAGGUAAAGGCUCACCAAGCCUACGAUCUAUAGCUGGUCUGAGAGGACGACCAGCCACACUGGAACUGAGACACGGUCCAGACUCCUACGGGAGGCAGCAGUGGGGAAUUUUGGACAAUGGGCGAAAGCCUGAUCCAGCAAUACCGCGUGCAGGAAGAAGGCCUUCGGGUUGUAAACUGCUUUUGUACGGAACGAAACGGUCUGGAUUAAUACUCUGGGCUAAUGACGGUACCGUAAGAAUAAGCACCGGCUAACUACGUGCCAGCAGCCGCGGUAAUACGUAGGGUGCAAGCGUUAAUCGGAAUUACUGGGCGUAAAGCGUGCGCAGGCGGUUUUGUAAGACAGGCGUGAAAUCCCCGGGCUCAACCUGGGAAUUGCGCUUGUGACUGCAAGGCUAGAGUACGGUAGAGGGGGGUAGAAUUCCGCGUGUAGCAGUGAAAUGCGUAGAUAUGCGGAGGAACACCGAUGGCGAAGGCAGCCCUCUGGACCUGUACUGACGCUCAUGCACGAAAGCGUGGGGAGCAAACAGGAUUAGAUACCCUGGUAGUCCACGCCCUAAACGAUGUCAACUGGUUGUUGGGAAUUUACUUUCUCAGUAACGAAGCUAACGCGUGAAGUUGACCGCCUGGGGAGUAC